rnacentral:rRNA from 2 species
UUAAGCGACUAAGCGUACACGGUGGAUGCCCUGGCAGUCAGAGGCGAUGAAGGACGUGCUAAUCUGCGAAAAGCGCCGGCGAGGUGAUAUGAACCUUUGACCCGGCGAUGUCCGAAUGGGGAAACCCAGUGCAAUCCGUUGCACUAUCGUUAACUGAAUACAUAGGUUAACGAGGCGAACCGGGGGAACUGAAACAUCUAAGUACCCCGAGGAAAAGAAAUCAACCGAGAUUCCCCCAGUAGCGGCGAGCGAACGGGGAGCAGCCCGGAGUCUGAAUCAGCUUGUGUGUUAGUGGAACGGUCUGGAAAGUCCGACGGUACAGGGUGAUAGUCCCGUACACGAAAGCACACUUGCUGUGAACUCGAAGAGUAGGGCGGGACACGUGGUAUCCUGUCUGAAUAUGGGGGGACCAUCCUCCAAGGCUAAAUACUCCUGACUGACCGAUAGUGAACCAGUACCGUGAGGGAAAGGCGAAAAGAACCCCGGCGAGGGGAGUGAAAAAGAACCUGAAACCGUGUACGUACAAGCAGUGGGAGCCUCUUUAUGGGGUGACUGCGUACCUUUUGUAUAAUGGGUCAGCGACUUAUAUUCUGUAGCAAGGUUAACCGUAUAGGGGAGCCGAAGGGAAACCGAGUCUUAACUGGGCGUUAAGUUGCAGGGUAUAGACCCGAAACCCGGUGAUCUAGCCAUGGGCAGGUUGAAGGUUGGGUAACACUAACUGGAGGACCGAACCGACUAAUGUUGAAAAAUUAGCGGAUGACCUGUGGCUGGGGGUGAAAGGCCAAUCAAACCGGGAGAUAGCUGGUUCUCCCCGAAAGCUAUUUAGGUAGCGCCUCGUGAAUUCAUCUUCGGGGGUAGAGCACUGUUUCGGCUAGGGGGCCAUCCCGGCUUACCAACCCGAUGCAAACUACGAAUACCGAAGAAUGUUAUCACGGGAGACACACGGCGGGUGCUAACGUCCGUCGUGAAGAGGGAAACAACCCAGACCGCCAGCUAAGGUCCCAAAGUCAUGGUUAAGUGGGAAACGAUGUGGGAAGGCACAGACAGCCAGGAUGUUGGCUUAGAAGCAGCCAUCAUUUAAAGAAAGCGUAAUAGCUCACUGGUCGAGUCGGCCUGCGCGGAAGAUGUAACGGGGCUAAACCAUGCACCGAAGCUGCGGCAGCGACACUUAUGUGUUGUUGGGUAGGGGAGCGUUCUGUAAGCCGUUGAAGGUGUGCUGUGAGGCAUGCUGGAGGUAUCAGAAGUGCGAAUGCUGACAUAAGUAACGAUAAAGCGGGUGAAAAGCCCGCUCGCCGGAAGACCAAGGGUUCCUGUCCAACGUUAAUCGGGGCAGGGUGAGUCGACCCCUAAGGCGAGGCCGAAAGGCGUAGUCGAUGGGAAACAGGUUAAUAUUCCUGUACUUGGUGUUACUGCGAAGGGGGGACGGAGAAGGCUAUGUCAGCCGGGCGACGGUUGUCCCGGUUUAAGCAUGUAGGCGGAGGUUCCAGGUAAAUCCGGUACCUUUUAACGCUGAGGUGUGAUGACGAGGCACUACGGUGCUGAAGUGAUAAAUGCCCUGCUUCCAGGAAAAGCCUCUAAGCAUCAGGUAACAUCAAAUCGUACCCCAAACCGACACAGGUGGUCAGGUAGAGAAUACCAAGGCGCUUGAGAGAACUCGGGUGAAGGAACUAGGCAAAAUGGUGCCGUAACUUCGGGAGAAGGCACGCUGAUGUGUAGGUGAAGCCCCUGCGGGUGGAGCUGAAAUCAGUCGAAGAUACCAGCUGGCUGCAACUGUUUAUUAAAAACACAGCACUGUGCAAACACGAAAGUGGACGUAUACGGUGUGACGCCUGCCCGGUGCCGGAAGGUUAAUUGAUGGGGUUAGCGGCAACGCGAAGCUCUUGAUCGAAGCCCCGGUAAACGGCGGCCGUAACUAUAACGGUCCUAAGGUAGCGAAAUUCCUUGUCGGGUAAGUUCCGACCUGCACGAAUGGCGUAAUGAUGGCCAGGCUGUCUCCACCCGAGACUCAGUGAAAUUGAACUCGCUGUGAAGAUGCAGUGUACCCGCGGCAAGACGGAAAGACCCCGUGAACCUUUACUAUAGCUUGACACUGAACACUGGUCCUUGAUGUGUAGGAUAGGUGGGAGGCUUUGAAGCGUGGACGCCAGUCUGCGUGGAGCCAACCUUGAAAUACCACCCUUUAAUGGCUGGUGUUCUAACGUAGACCCGUAAUCCGGGUUGCGGACAGUGUCUGGUGGGUAGUUUGACUGGGGCGGUCUCCUCCCAAAGAGUAACGGAGGAGCACGAAGGUUGGCUAAUCCUGGUCGGACAUCAGGAGGUUAGUGCAAUGGCAUAAGCCAGCUUGACUGCGAGCGUGACGGCGCGAGCAGGUGCGAAAGCAGGUCAUAGUGAUCCGGUGGUUCUGAAUGGAAGGGCCAUCGCUCAACGGAUAAAAGGUACUCCGGGGAUAACAGGCUGAUACCGCCCAAGAGUUCAUAUCGACGGCGGUGUUUGGCACCUCGAUGUCGGCUCAUCACAUCCUGGGGCUGAAGUAGGUCCCAAGGGUAUGGCUGUUCGCCAUUUAAAGUGGUACGCGAGCUGGGUUUAGAACGUCGUGAGACAGUUCGGUCCCUAUCUGCCGUGGGCGCUGGAGAAUUGAGGGGGGCUGCUCCUAGUACGAGAGGACCGGAGUGGACGCAUCACUGGUGUUCGGGUUGUCAUGCCAAUGGCACUGCCCGGUAGCUAAAUGCGGAAGAGAUAAGUGCUGAAAGCAUCUAAGCACGAAACUUGCCCCGAGAUGAGUUCUCCCUGAGACUUUAAGUCUCCUGAAGGAACGUUGAAGACGACGACGUUGAUAGGUCGGGUGUGUAAGCGCAGCGAUGCGUUGAGCUAACCGAUACUAAUGAACCGUGAGGCUUAACCUU